CUACAAGUUAAUGUCUCUCAUUUACACAUUCACACACGUAUGGAUACAUUCAGGAAACACAGAGCAACCAAAAACAAUGUCUGUAACGUUUCUCUGAUGAUUCUAAACGCUAUCCUUAUAUGUUCAGUGUACAGGUCGGCAUCAAACCACAGGAUGGAUUUUAUAAUGUUUAUAUGAGUGUUUACAGAUGCUAACGUAUGUAACGCUGUUACUGUGAUAACACAUGACAGUUAAAUAUUUAUAAAAAUCCAUCCUGUAUACUGAACGCAUAAGGAAUAGUUAACGUUUAUAAUCACCAGAGAACAUUACACACGUUGUUUUUGGUUCCUUUCUGUUUUCUGAAUAUAUCCGUACGUGUGUGAAUGUGUAAAUGAGAGACAUUAACUUAUAACACUUUGUACUAGGAGCUUUAUAAAGCUUACUCCAUUGACUUGUAUCCGUUCACGGGGCUGAGCUGCCACAUCCAAUGUGGGGGUGGCGUCGAAGUCUAAACAGAGUGUCAAAGAGGACCAUCCGGAGACGCAUGAAACAGAGCGGUUUAAGAAAACUGGCCUCUUUUCAGCUGUGAAUGAUGAGGAGUUGGACCGUAUUUUAAGUGAAGUCCACAGAAGACAUCCAAACACCGGCUACAAGCUAAUGCGUGGUCAUCUGAAUGCAAGAGGUGUGCGUGUUCCAACUGUGCUGGCGCGCGGCGCAGGAGGGCGCACUGCAGAGCCAUAGACAUCUCCUCGGUGACAAGGGUUAUCCUCUAACGGAAUACCUAAUAAACCCGCUGGCAAACCCCGCUACAGAUCAGGAACGCAGGUUCAACAGUACGCACACACGGAGACGGGUCACAGUGGAGCGCUGCUUCGGGUUGCUGAAGGGCAGGUGGCUCUGUCUCGGACCAGCAGGGGGAACGCUGCUGUAUACCCCAGAGAAAGUCUGCAAUAUCAUUUUGGCCUGUUCACUUUUGUACAACAUUGCACUGGUGAAUGGAUUGCCUUUUGAUGUGCCGGCGCAGCCAGAUGAGCCAAUGCCCAUGGAACCGUGGCCAGUACAGCCUCCACUGGGGGCUAUACGGAGGAGACAGGACCUCAUUUGCCGCUUUUUAAACUCUCAAGACUGCAAGAGUCUUUACGCUGAGUCGAUGCAGAGGGAGUCUACAUGAGACAUCUAAGGCUGCGUGUAUUAAGGCGACGGCAGUAUUCUUUUCCUGGCCCAAACUCUUUAUGGCAUAUAGAUGGCAACCAUAAGCUCAUCAGGUCAGAAAUAGACAAUAAACAGUGCAUCUUUCCAUAGAUGUCAUUAGAGAAAUAUUGUGCUGUUUUUGUGUGUUCACAAUUGCCAGGUGGAGAUUCGUUGUUCAUGGUGGGAUGGAUGGAUUCAGUCAUUUAGUGGUCUACUUGACUGUGGCUGGCAAUAAUAGAGCUAGUAAGAUCUUACAGAGCUUUAUCACUGCUGUUGAGCAGUAUGGGCUGCCACAUCACAGGCAGAAGCGUCCACAAUCAGUGAAUAGAGAGGAUGUGGAGAGAUGUUUAUGAACAUGCCUUGGACCUCUUCUAUCAGAUCUUCACUUUAUUGGAAGAUCAGGGAACACUGAAUCCAGACAAUGAAGUCCAUCUUUUCGCACUGCACCGGAUCUUCCUUUCACAAAUCCAGCAAAGCCUCAAUUCUUUCAGAGAUGCUUGGAACUUUCAUGGUCUUAGAACCGAAAGGAAUCAGUCACCACAGCAACUCUGGAGAAGAUACAGAGAGCAAGGCCCUAUGGAGGAUCCUACUGAGGUUUAUGAAGACUAUGGGAUCGACUGGAACGGACCUCACAGACUUCAUGGAGGCACUGUGUCAGUCCCCGAGGUUCAGCUGGCCCGUGAGCUCUCAGAUGAGGAGGUUGCCAUUUUGCCAGCUCCAGGAGUUUCUGUAACUGAUGCACUUGGAUUAUAUGUAGAGACUGUGCAGGUUUUUAUCAAGAAUCAUAGCAGACUGAUGCUUUUAUUUGCAACCCAUUCUUUUAUUAAGCAUCUUAGAACAAGCAAGCACAAACUGAAAAAGUUUGCUUUCCCUAAAAAGAAAAAAAGCUGUUUUACUUUGUAGCUCUACAGUAAACACUGUUAUGAGCUCAUAAAUGGAGUUUAUGCACAGCUCAAAUACUUCCUGAACUUUAACACACUCCUUUUCUUCCUGUCUCAUUUUUGGCCACAGAAUGAACAGCAUGAAAUGUCAUUCUGUUGAAAGCUGAAGAUGCAGAACUGCUUGGUUUCAGUUAAUGGUAAAAAUGUGUUGAACAAAAAAAAUAAAUAAAUUAUAAACUACUGCACAGUAUGUUAAAUGUUUUCAAAGAUACUGAACAGUGCAUUCAAUGAUCUGUCUGAACAACAACUUAAACAAGUCCAAAUCCAGUCUGUGCACUAUUUAUGACAGAGACAAGUGCUUUCUCAAAGUCCAUGUAGGUAUUGAAAUGAGCUGGCAGCUUCAGUGUCAAAGCAUGUGGAGGACGUAGGAAGGGUUCCACCAGAAAUCUCCCCUUUCAGUUCAGGAGGAAGCCUCUCCCAGCCAACCCAGAAUGUCAGCAGAUGGGCCAGUGUGCCUGAUGAAGCUAAAAGUCACAACAGUUAGUUAACUUUAGUUGAUCAUAUCUAUCCGCGAGUAGGGAUGUAGCGUUACCGGUGUCACGGUAAACCACGGUAAAAUUCCCGACGGUGAAGGUUACCUUUUAAGUUUUAAGGUAACUCGUGGCGCGUGCGCAGCGUGCAACGUGCAACGUGCACUAGUUAUGUAGUGAAGUAGACAUGGCGGAGGGAGGAUGUGAUAGUAGCGGUCCUCGCGGCAUUUUUCCCCCUUCAAAGAAACCAAAUCUGGGCGUACUGUGGUUGUUAUAAGAAUACUCAGGGACAGCUGGUCGAGGAUGGCAGCCCCAUCUGCAGGAGCUGCAAGAAGAAAGUUGUUGCGAGGGGUGGCAACACAUCCAGUUUACAUGACCAUCACCCUCAGCUGUUCAGCGAAUGCAAGGUAAGCUAACCUUAAGCUCAGGUGCAUCAUGUAUGUGUAUGUUGAGUUUUCUCUGUCUAAUUUGCUGUUGUCACUAAUGUAAACUGACCAGUGGUAUAACUGAACGAAGUUGAUCCAUGAUUUGGCACGUUAUUUGAACAGCUUAUUAGUUGUAGAUUUCACUUUUUAAAGUCAACCUAAUAAUUCCCCAAACAUUGAUGCAGAGCUGCAGAGAGGAGGAUUUGAGACAAACACAUAGUGGGAAGAAGAAUAGAAGAAUAUGAAAUGGUGAAUAUAACGUGUCUAGAUAGAAAUAAGAGCCAAAAUAGGGUAUUCACAAUUCAUUUAACAACAGUAAUCCUUUUUGUUUUGAUCUAAAAAGUGAUCCAACCUGUUCCCCACAAAGUGAUAUGAUCUAAAUUAUGAGUUUUGUGAUCUGUUGGUUGCACCCUUAGUAUUAAGUAACAAUGGCAGUAAUAAUUAAUGACAUUUUCUAUUAAUUUUUUUCACAGAGGCCAAUCGAGUGCUGCUGUACUCGAUAACCGAUGGCUAGACCGAUAACUGUGAUAAUUUUGGCCACUAUUACCACUGUGUGAAAUGUUCAUACCAUUACAUCCCUAUCCACGAGACAUAGAAGCAUUUGUUAAGAGAGCGAUACAUUAGCCAAAUAAGGUGUUUAUACCUGUUUCAAUGAACAUCCUCAAUGAAAGCCAGUGAUGCGGCAUGUGGAUUCUAUGUUAAAGUCUUCAUCAUCACUGUCCUCAACCGGCAAUGUGAUUUUUUUCUAGGAGCAUCUUAAAGAACACAUCAAUGUAAUUGAUUUUUUAAAAAAGAAGAACUUAUUUUGGUGAAAGAAUAUUCAAAUCACAUUCUUGGUAAAUGGAAAAAUAAUCUGCUUAGUCAUUUGAAAAUACAUUAAAUAAAGCCACAAAUAUAACUAAAUUACUGACUUACCUGUGAUGUGAACUGCAUUUCAGCCAUUUUGGGCAAAAGAAGUGGGACAACAUCUGGCCUAGAUGUCAGCAGGGGCUAUACCAUCACAUCUUUCAGUCCCUUUCUCAACUGUUUAAAUUUGGCGCAUGGUCCUCCCAAUGACCUAAGAGAGAGACCAGACCCAUAUUGCAAACCAAAUCCUCAACCCCAAUUUUACAAAAGUUGAUACAGCAGGAAAAAUGUUCAUAAAGUACAACGAAGUGCUUUAUAAAAUCCAUUCAAACUCUAGUACAGAAUAUAUCAACCCUUAAGACAUGUAUAUAUUUUAGAAUAAUGUAUGCUGCUAUUCAGAUGUGUCUUUUCCUGGGAUGUCCCUUCAUUUUACAACAAAUCACAUUUUACAGAGAUUACAAGUUAAAGAGAGUGCUAGUUGUCCUGUGUACAGUCCCAGUUUGCCUGUGAUUGAAAAUAUGUUGUGCUUCAUGCACAUUUGUCAUAACUGUUCUGCUUAAGACAUAAUUGAUGGAUGAAUGGGGAAAUUCCACUUUCUAAAUUUCAGCAAUUGGAUGUUGCAGUAGAUCAUUUUAUCACCUUUUUAAAGUAUAUUAUCAAAAGGCAAAUUAACAAAACCAAAUGUGUUUUGUUGAUCUGCUAACAGUGUACUGUGGUGUGAUUUUUUAGUAAAAGAUUUCACUUUGUUUUUGGAAUAUUUAUAAGUGAGGGCGGAAUUGUGUGACCAUGGCAACGGCUGAGUUACCGGAAGAAAUGGCCACUGGACAACAAACUGCUGUGCAACCGUACAUGUUCGAAGAGGCUCCAGAAUAAGUUCAGCAGCCAAGAAUGAACAUGGAUGUUUCUCAGUGGUGUUCCUGUGGCAAUUGUGAACAAGUGCCUACAAAGCCUGAGAAUAUCUGCUGUAUGGAAAUACCACAGGUAAGUGUGAACACUGGGCAAACAAGGUUGUUAUUUUGCAGUCUCUUUUCUUUAAUCCAUUGUCACUCACUUACCUUUCAUAACUUAUAGGUUACACGAAGACUAAGUUACAGCAGCUUCCUGAGCAACCAUCAUGCAUGCUGUACCAUCCUAGCCUAGAACCCGUCUGCCUGAAUGUGUUUUCACUGCAGAAUGCACUGAACAUUUAUCGGGCAGACUACGGACCUUUACGUCUGAGGGGAAUAGUGCAGUAAGCUUUUUAGGCCCAUAAAUAUUAUUAAUUUAUUGCGAAAGUGUUAUAAAUUACAUAACUGCUUCCUCUGUCUUACAUUGCUUAUAGUUUAUCUUUACUAUCUUUUACUUGGUAACAUGAAAACUACAUAUCAAACAAUGAAAACACACAGAACAGUUGGGAGAGAUGUUUUAU